GAUGAAGAACGCAGCGAAAUGCGAUAAGUAAUGUGAAUUGCAGAAUUCAGUGAAUCAUCGAAUCUUUGAACGCACCUUGCACUCCUUGGUAUUCCGAGGAGUACGCCUGUUCGAGUGUUAUGAAGCUCUCAAAACGCAAUUGGCUUAAAACCUGAUUGUUGUUUUGGAUUUGAACUUUGCCGUGUUAUAACGGCUGGUUUUAAAAGUAUUAGCUGGUACUAGAACGAAUUGGUUCUACUCAACGUGAUAAUUAUCUGAUCGUUGAGGACAUUCCUUUCACGAGGAAUGGCCAUAGUAAAUUCAAUGGACUGCUUCUAAUCUGGCUUUAAUUCUUUAUUGGAUUAACCACUUUUCAAAUCUGACCUCGAAUCAGGCGGGACUACCCGCUGAACUUAAGCAUAUCAAUAAGCGGAGGA
rnacentral:misc_RNA from 1 species